ensembl:lncRNA
GCAGCGUCAUUUAGGCUUUGCCUAAAAUGAAUGGACACUCUUCAGCAACACACGAUGUGAAACUGAUCACGAGUUUCCUGAAAUCAGAGUCCUGACUUGCCUGACGAUGUGUGUGACGGAUACAAGUAGAGGAAUAUCUCAUCAGUACGAUGUUCAUGGAUUUGAAACUGGAGGCUAGGAGGAACUUGAAGGGACAGAAGUGCCCCACAUCCUCUUCGUUACAUAGAGGAGAAAAGCCUGUGAAGAGAAGCUGGGCUGGCUUGGGCUGCAGGAACCCGUCCUGAGCUGGACUCUGUUGCUGUCCCACACAUGGCUAUUUUGAUUUGGCCUGACUCCACAGCACAGUGGAGCCUGGCGAUUCCCAGUGGUGGCGAGUGGCCGGAGGCCAGCAGCCUGGCAUGGAGCCUGUCUGGUCAGGGACACUGGACUGUUUCCCUGUCUUUACCCCUGGCUUUCAGCAAGUCUCCUUCAGAGCUCCAGCUUAGUCUGGGUCAUAUUAUGAGGAAUUGGGAAGGCUCUUUCUCCAUCUCAGAAGGAGCAGCCAACGAGAGAGCCAUGUCCCCUUCUUGGGUCCAGUGUAGGAAGUUCAUUGGCAGUUGCCAGCAGAAGACGGCUGUGUCUGAAGGCUCUGCCGCCUCAUAUUGAUCUUUGGAACAGAGCAGUAGAGACAUGGCUUCUGUGGAGGAGCACAGAACAGAAGGACACAAGGGCCUGUUUUGUUUCUUUCAAUCUUUAACACGGUGGGGCAUUUUCUUGUCUGCCUGUGUGUUUCCUUUCCAUUGGCCAUCCCCAACCCCGACUAGUAUGUAAGUCAAUGAGAGGAGGGACUUCUUCAUCCUUACUCACUGUUGAAUCCUCAGUGCCUAGAAUAGUGUGUGCAUAAUAAAUAUUUGUUGAAUGCAUGAGUAGCAAAGAAAGAAGGGAGGGAGGAAGGAUUGAUCAAUUCCUGUUCAAAUACCAAAUGAGAAAAUCUCAGAAAUAGAUGUUGAUGCCUCACACCAUAAUUUGAACAUAAAACUGAAAGGUGUUGUCUCAAAGAGAUACAGCCAUGUUGACAGCAGCAGUCUUCACACAGCUAAAAGGUGGAAGCCACUCAAGUGUCCAUCGAUGGAUGAAUGGAUGAACACCAUGCAGUAUACACAUACAACGCAAUAUUAUUUAGCCUUAAAAAGAAAGGCAAUUCUGACACAUGCUACAAUGUGGGUGAGCCUUGAGGACACUAUGCGAAGUGAAAUAAGUCAGUCAUAAACAGACAGAUACUGUACGAUCCCACUUAUAUGAGGUACUGAGAGUCAUCAAAUUCAUACAGAAAGCAAAAUGGUAGCUACCUAGGGCUGGGGGAAGAGGGGAAUAGGGAGUCAUUGUUUAACGGGUACAAAGUUUCCCUUUGGGUAGACAAAGAGUUCUGGAAAUGGAUGGUGAUGGUGAUUGCACAACAAUGUGAAUGUCUUUAAUACCAUUGAACUGUACACUGAAAAAUGGUUAAGAUGGUAAAUUUUACGCUAUGUGAUUUUUUAGCACAAUAAAAAUAUUUGGAAAAAUACAUGAAAAAAAGCAAAACCAAAAACUGAAAGGUGUAAUAUUUUGUAGUGCCAGGUGUCUGAGGUUUGGGAUAUAAAGAUUAGAUCUAUUAAAACGCAAAUAUCCUGGAUUAGAAUGCAACAAGGCAUUGAAUUUUUAAGAUAAAGCUUCAAAGAAAUUUCAAGCUAUGUCAACCCAUGUUGGGUUUGAUUUCAGAUUAUUUCAUAUUCUGGGAGUACUCAUCCACUUUCUGUUUUUUUAAGUUUGGUUUUUACUUUUAUCAAGAUUAUGUAUGUGUAUGGUUUAAAGAGUAAAAUAGUUCUACAAGACUUGCUAUGAAAAACAGGGGUAAGUUUGCUCUCUCUAUUGUUACCAUUUCCUUCCUUCCACAGGAAACAACUGCUAACCUCUUUCCCAAUUCUUUCCAGGCGCACAUUCACAUCUCUAAAUAAUAAGCUCGUAUUGCUACUUGUUGACUUCAGUAUUAGGUGCUAUCUAUUAGCUUCCACUAUGUAAGGUGAGGGCUUAGCUUCCUUCUCAUCCUGGACCCACACACAUAUACAGUUCCUAUGCCUCUAUCCACCCCACAGUCAUAUCAUAACUUUGGUUGGAUAGAUAUGUGGUGCUCCCACUAUGAUGAUUUUAUAAAUCUUAUGCACAGCUGAGCUCUGUUGUGCCCAAUCAUUCCUUUUCCCUUCCUUCAGUCCUCUUUUCCUGGAGUUACAAAUUGUCUGAUCUUGUUGCCCCUGGUCUGCUCCCAUGUGGAUUGGUUGAUGGGUACAUUUGUCACUCAGAUUCUGUCCUGGGAGUUCCCUUUCCCAUUCUCCUGAGUACGCCCUAUUCUUUCAUGGUUAAUCCAAGGGUCAGAAAACCACAGCCCUUGCCUUGUAAAUAAAUUUGGAUGGGGACACAGCCAAGCCUUUACUUGUGUGUUGUCUAUGGAUGUUCUCAGGCUGCAAAGGGAGAGCUGAGUGUGAGACAAAGACAAUAUGGCCGCAAGGCCUAAGGUAUUUACUAUCUGGUCCUUAAUGGAGGAGUUUUCUGGACCCUCAUGGACUGUAUCAUUUUAUCAAGUAUAUCCUCCCAUUGCUUUUCAGAAGGUUACAGAGAAGAAAAUAAAGAUUUUUGAGACUUUGCAAGCCUGAAAUAUCUUAUUUUCUACUUUCAACUAUAAUUACUGAGUUGGCUGGACAGAAAAUUCUAGGUUGGAAAAUAAUUUCUCUCAAAACUUUUAAUAAACACUUUUGAAGCAAUUAUAU